UACGUAGGGUGCGAGCGUUAAUCGGAAUUACUGGGCGUAAAGCGUGCGCAGGCGGUCCGGCAAGUCUGAUGUGAAAGCCCCGGGCUCAACCUGGGAACUGCAUUGGAAACUAGCGGGCUCGAGUGUGGCAGAGGGGGGUGGAAUUCCACGUGUAGCAGUGAAAUGCGUAGAGAUGCGGAGGAACACCGAUGGCGAAGGCAGCCCCCUGGGCUGACACUGACGCUCAGGCACGAAAGCGUGGGGAGCAAACAGG
rnacentral:rRNA from 1 species